rnacentral:lncRNA from 1 species
AAUUUAAUUUACAAUAACAAGAGGGCCCCCGAAUAAACAAAAGUAAAGAGGACUGUGAACCUACAGUUUGGAAAAUGCAGAUCCAACGGUAGUCCUCGAUGAGAUCAGCUAUCUACAGCUUAUACUGAACCUGAAAUGGGUGGAAAGAAGGGUGGUGAGAUUAUAAAAUCCCAAUGAGUAAACAGACAUCAUCAUAAAUAUCUAGAGUUGAGUACAUGGAGACAAUAAAAUCAAUCAUCGUAAACUAGGUCACAGCAUUAGAAUACAUUUCAUUUAAAAUAUGUAAAGAGGCUUAUGAAUUUCAUAAAAACUAGACUUGUGCCAUAAAUCCAUUCUCAGGGACACCUUGGCCUAGGCAUCCUACCGAGACCGCCAAGGCUAUUAAAAUUCACAUUUCACAUAAAUCAUGUUUUUGUUUUGAAAACAUAGCCGUUCCUUGGCGUUGGCUGAGUUCCCCCUCACGUGGUGGUUUAGCGUGAAGUGAACUCUAAAAUUUACCCCAGGAGAUACCCUACGCCCCUCUCCAUUCUAGGUAAGAAUAUAAUGGGGUUUACUGUGCCCCUUUAAAAGGCUGGUCCACAGAAACCCCUUACUGCAGUGAUUAAUUAAUAUAUAAUCCACCAUACAACAAAACUCAAUAACAUGAUAUGGUAAUUUUGUAAUUCGCAGUCUUUCAAGGCAACCAAACAAUUCGUAUUUCAAUACAAUUGCCAACUAGCCAAUCAUGCCCGAUUUAUCAUAAGCCAAUCAAUUUAAAUAAUCAAAUUACCACAAUUAACAGUCUCCGUGUACUUUAUUUUUCAAAAUCAUUAUUAAUUUCAAAACAAUUUAUAAUUUAAUUUAAUUGAAACACAUUUAUUCAUAAAACAUGAAAUUUUACCUUUUUAAAUUCCUUUUUCCAUAGAAUUCAUGAAAUCCCCUCAAAACUACUCUAGAUAAUUAAAAUGACAGUAAGUUUACUCACAAUGUCUAGAAUGCAGACUUUCGACGCACUCUGUCUACUGGUCCUCGGAUGCAAUUUCCUUGCCUUUAUUGGAGGACUCACCACAUUGACACAGUACAAAAUCGAGAAAUUCACUACAUUGGUACUAAAUUGAAAUUAAACAAAUUUAGACUAUUAAUGCAUAAUAUGGAAUGCAAAAAUGCACUGGUAACUAUCUAAACUCGGUAUUGGCCUAAUUCGUCUUAUCACCCGAUUAAAUUACUAACGCGUCCAAUUUAAUCCCAAAUUAAUUUUUUUCAAUUUCUAUACCUCAAUUGCACCCAAAUUAACUUAAUGUCCCUAAGUGUGGUGCAAAUUAUCAGUCUCGACAGCAAAUUACGAAAAUACCCCUAGUGGGUAAAAAUUCGUAUUUUUGCUCCAAAAAUUCUCAUUAUUUUUCUAGGCUCAUAAUUCAUCAUUUCUUAACCAAUUCUCCUAGAAUAAAAAUCAAACUCAUCCUCACUCAUACAUGGUAAAUUCGGCCAUUAAUGGUUUUGGGAGAAAAUAAAUUCUUUUCUUAUUGUUUUGUUUCUAAAUAUGCUAAACUAACUAAAAACACUAACAUAACUUAAAAUCAAAUUAAUCUAACAACUUUCUCUCUCCUAACCCAUUUUGAUCAGCCAACAAUUCAUCAUAAAAACUUGUAAUUUAAGCAUGGAAAAUAAGGAGAAAUGCUUAAGGAGAAUAGAUUUCAAGCUUAAGUUGAAAAAUCCUACCUUUUUCACUUGUUUUCCUUGAUUUUCCACACUUUUUCUCUUGAAAUUCCUCACCUAGGGUUUGUUCUUCCUCUCUUUCUCUCUCUU